UGUUUUGGUAUCUCGGGGUAACUCUGGGCUUGUGUGUGUUUCUCUGUUAUGUCAUGAAACAGAAGGGAUUCAUGACUGCAGUACUGAAACGCUGCUAUAUAUGUCCCAUUGCCUUUUCCUCAGAAUACUGUACUAGAGGACAUGAGCAAGGACCCGCCCAUGGCGCUGAGACCCCAGCUGCUGUGGCAGAGUGCCACUGGGCAUGCUGAUGGACAGGAACAAGAGGCUCCAGGACACAGGCUUGCUGCUGGAGGGACUGACUCUGUAGCAGCUCGCUGAAGGCUCCAGGUAGUCAAACUCACUGGCACCUGCUUCCAGGAGGGCCCAGCCUAGGUUUUGGAGGGGGAAACCUGCAGAUCCUUAACAUGGGCAGCAAACUUCAGUAA
rnacentral:lncRNA from 1 species